GACGAACGCUGGCGGCGUGCUUAACACAUGCAAGUCGAACGGUGAAGCUCCAGCUUGCUGGAGUGGAUCAGUGGCGAACGGGUGAGUAACACGUGAGCAACCUGCCCCUGACUCUGGAAUAAGCGCUGGAAACGGCGUCUAAUACUGGAUACGAGAAGGGUCCGCAUGGGCACUUUCUGGAAAGUUUUUCGGUUGGGGAUGGGCUCGCGGCCUAUCAGCUUGUUGGUGAGGUAAUGGCUCACCAAGGCGACGACGGGUAGCCGGCCUGAGAGGGCGACCGGCCACACUGGGACUGAGACACGGCCCAGACUCCUACGGGAGGCAGCAGUGGGGAAUAUUGCACAAUGGGCGAAAGCCUGAUGCAGCGACGCCGCGUGAGGGAUGUCGGCCUUCGGGUUGUAAACCUCUUUCAGCAGGGAAGAAGCGAAAGUGACGGUACCUGCAGAAGAAGCACCGGCUAACUACGUG
rnacentral:rRNA from 1 species